rnacentral:rRNA from 1 species
CCUACGGGACGCAACAGUAGGGAAUCUUCCACAAUGGACGAAAGUCUGAUGGAGCAACGCCGCGUGAGUGAAGAAGGGUUUCGGCUCGUAAAGCUCUGUUGGUAGUGAAGAAAGAUAGAGGUAGUAACUGGCCUUUAUUUGACGGUAAUUACUUAGAAAGUCACGGCUAACUACGUGCCAGCAGCCGCGGUAAUACGUAGGUGGCAAGCGUUGUCCGGAUUUAUUGGGCGUAAAGCGAGUGCAGGCGGUGCAAUAAGUCUUAUGUGGAAACCUUCGGGCCAACCGGAGAAUUUGAUCACAAACUG